GCUCCCCUCCCAUGCAUCCUCCACAAUUCUCCUGCCUCAGACUCCCUGAGUAGCUGGGAUUACAGGCAUGCGCCAAGUUUCACCAUGUUGGCCAGGCUGGUCUCGAACUGCUGUCCUCAAGUGAUCCGCCUGCCUCGGCCUCUCAAAGUUCUGGGAUAACAAGCGUGAGCCACCGCGCCCGGCCUAUUUAUUUUUUGAGACGGAGUCUCACUCUGUCUCCCACACCAGUGUCUCCAGCACUACCAGGCUGGAGUGGAGUGGCAUGACCUCGGCUCACAGCAACUUCCGCCUCCCGGGCUCAAGCGAUUCUCCUGCCUCAGCCUCCCAUAAACAUUUUACCUUAAUGAUAUUGUAUCUUUCUGCAGUGGGCACUUUUCACUAAGCACUUUUUUUUUUUUUUUUUUUUUGAGGCAGUGUUUUGCUCUGUCUCCCAGGCUGGAAUGCAGUGGCGUGAUCUCGGCUCACUGCAACCUCUGCCUCCUGGGUUCAGGUGAUUCUCCUGCCUCAGCCUCUGAGUAGCUGGGAUUACAGGCACCUGCCACCACACCUGGCUAAUUUUUGUAUUUUUAGUACAGACGGAGUUUCACCAUGUUGGCCAGGCUGGUCUCGAACUCCUGACCUUGUGUGAUCUGCCCGCCUCGGCCUCCCAAAGUGCUGGGAUUACAGGUGUGAGCCACCGCGCCCGGCCGGUCCAGUGCUUCUUUUCAAAACUUGGAAUGUCAUCUUUGGAAAAGGAGAGUAACUAAUAACCAUCUGAAUGUGGUUACAACUGGAAAUACGUUUAUUUCUCUCCAAACUUUGUCUUCAAACCAGCCCUGCUGGCUCUCUCUUCCCUGCCCCUUGAUGGUAACUUUGACAGACUUCAUAGCUUUCUGGUUACUCAUAAUUUCAAGAACCUCAAUUAAGGUUAAUUUUUAGGUGUUUAAAAAAAAAAAAAAGCCGAAUCUGGUCUAAAUCAAAUCUUUAACUUGACACCCAGUUCAAAGCUCCUCCCCCUGCCCUGGGUAAGACUGAGCACAGCUCUAGGUCUUGCAGCACGGAAGCGGGGGAAGCCUGCUCUUUCUCUCCUCCUCUCUGUCCCCCACUGCUUCUUGCUUUCUGGGGUCAGUGAUGGGUCUGGGGUGGGGGUGGUGGGGACCAAAGAGUAGAGUAAAGGGGCAAAAGUCUUCACACUUGGUUGCAGCUCUCCCUUGGCUGAUAGCAUUCUCUGGGUUGCAAGUGUCCAAAUGCUGAAUGUUCCAUGGGAUGCAGCUAUGGUUUCUCAAGAGGCCUUAUGAGAAUCUCCACAGGGUGUGAGUUAGGGUCACCAAAUGGAGAGGUGCUCUUGGAGACCUCACUCUUGGCUUGGAAGAAACAGCCCUCUCCCACCCACACUGGGAGAAGUAGGGACAAAUGAUCGUACUUUCCCUCACACUGCCCAGUGACUCAACUCUCCUUGAAUGCCUCAUCUUUCCUUCACACAGGCUGUAGGUGGGUAAUGGUGACCAGAACAGUUCACCAGUCUUUCUAUAGAUCUUGUGGGGUUGUGCCUAGCUGUUCCUCUGCAGAAGGUGGGAAUACUUACCACCUAGCAUCUUCACAAAAUAUCCCAUUCGACAU
rnacentral:lncRNA from 1 species